UGACAAAAAGGAAAUAUCUGAGAUCUAAUUUGGGGGACCCACAGCUGAACAAUGUCUUAAGAAGUUUUAGGUUUCAGGAAAAAAUAACUAUGUUCUUCAUAUAGCAUUCAAUUUCAGAGCGGAAUUUAAACAAAACACCUCUGCAAAUUUAAAAAUAUGGACCGGUUCCA